rnacentral:rRNA from 1 species
GUCAAUGGGCGGGAGCCUGAACCAGCCAAGUCGCGUGAAGGAAGAAGGAUCUAUGGUUCGUAAACUUCUUUUGCAGGGGAAUAGAGUGCAGGACGUGUCCUGUUUUGUCUGUACCCUGAGAAUAAGGAUCGGCUAACUCCGUGCCAGCAGCCGCGGUAAUCCGGAGGAUCCGAGCGCUAUCCGGAUUCAUUGGGUUUAAAGGGUGCGUAGGUGGUUUGAUAAGUCAGCGGUGAAAGUUUGCAGCUUAACUGUAAAAAUGCCGUUGAAACUGUCGGACUUGAGUGUAAAUGAGNUAGGCGGAAUGCGUGGUGUAGCGGUGAAAUGCAUAGAUAUCACGCAGAACUCCGAUUGCGAAGGCAGCUUACUAAGCUACAACUGACACUGAAGCACGAAAGCGUGGGGAUCAAACA